rnacentral:RNase_P_RNA from 1 species
AAAGUCGGCGCAGGCGGUUACAGAUCGGUCUAAUAAACUGGUUUGAGGAAAGUCCGGGCUCCCGAAAGACCAGACUUGCUGGAUAACGCCCAGUGCGAGCGAUCGCGAGGAUAGUGCCACAGAAAGAUACCGCCUUUCUUAAAGUUAGGAGUUAGGAGUGAAGAGUUAGGAGUUAGGAGUGAGGAGUUAGGAGUUAGGAGUUAUUAACUCAUAACCCAUAAUUCAUAACUCAUAAUUCAUAACUCAUAAUUCAUAACUCAUAACUAAGUUUGGUAAGGGUGCAAAGGUGCGGUAAGAGCGCACCAGCAACAUCGAGAGGUGUUGGCUCGGUAAACCCCGGUUGGGAGCAAGGCGAGAGGAACUAUGGUUGGUCUUUUACCAGUUCCGUCAAUGAGAGCCGCUAGAGGUGUUUGGUAACAGGCAUCCCAGAUAGAUUACUGCCCUCAAAAUGUAAAAAUGUUAUUUGUAAUGUUUCUACACUAGAGAACAGAACCCGGCUUAUGUCCGUACUUUCUCC